UAACUUACCUGACGAAGGCCUUCACUGCGAUCAGGCAGGCAGUGGGUCCAAGGUGAGACUAUAGGCCAUUGCACAUCGGCUUAGCUGACCCUUGCGAUUACUUCAAAUGUAGGAAACUGCACGGUCGUAUAAUUUCUGCUAGCGUUCGCACUACAAAAAA
ensembl:snRNA U1 U1 spliceosomal RNA